GAAAGAGACAUUAUCUUUCCUUUUCAGAGUGACACAUGUAAGCGCUGUCCAGUGUGCAGGACCUGCUUUCACAAACGCUGCUUUGUGGAAAAGAAGUGUCCCAAAUGUGCACGGAUCCAAUCACG